AUCACUUGGCCUGGGGGCAUGACCCAUCCCCAGUUUUUGCAGGCUGACAUCCGCUUGAAUUGCCCAUUUUUUUCUAUCUCUGAGUCGUGAGUCGCGAGUUAGGCCUGGAGGUGCCAUUACCCCAUCAGUAGGCGCCUUUCCACCUUCUGAGAUGGAUGCAUGAGCCUGUCUCACCCACUCACUGCUGAGGUGCCUGUCUCUCCCUAAGGUUGCUGUCUUCCUCGUCCCUCCGGCCCUUCUUCCUACUCAGCGUCUCACUUUUGGCCUAUUUUCUGCUGGAUCUCUGGCAGCCUCGCUUUCUCCCUGACGUUUCAGCAUCAUCCCCAGAGGAGCCACACUCUGACAGUGAGGGUGCGGGGUCAGGCGCCCGGCCGCACCUGCUGAGUGUGCCCGAGUUGUGCAGAUACCUGGCUGAGAGCUGGCUCACCUUCCAGAUUCACCUGCAGGAGCUGCUGCAGUACAAGAGGCAGAAUCCAGCUCAGUUCUGCGUUCGAGUCUGCUCUGGCUGUGCUGUGUUGGCUGUGUUGGGACACUAUGUUCCAGGGAUUAUGAUUUCCUACAUU
rnacentral:lncRNA from 1 species